GCCUUCGUGGUGUAGCGGUCAGCACGCUGGGCGCGUAUUCCAGAGGUCCGUAGUUCGAAUCCCGGCAAAGAUG
rnacentral:tRNA from 1 species